rnacentral:lncRNA from 1 species
AGGGUGUUUCAACCUCCACUUUGGAGAGAAUGUUCACAUGUUCAGUUCCAGGCCUUAGCUAAAAGGCAAGAAAUGCAGACUGCUCUACUCAGGAGAGAACUCACGUAUUCAAAGAGGACAGCUGGAGGCACACGCCAAAUUCAAAGUGGGACCCUAAAUGGACAAAAGGCUUUGAACAUCUUUAAAGCUUUGGAUACACAAUGAUGAAGUGUUGGAUUUUGACAGGCCCCAAUAAGUAGUACCCUUCGUUAUGGCCAAUAUCUAAAGCAAUAGAGAUAUAAAACAAGGAAGAAGACAAAUGGAGACCAAAAUAUCACUGUUACCACUGAUAAAUCUGAUAUUAGAGAACAUGCUUAUAUCUUCAGGAAAAUAUGCUUCUUAUAAUGAUCUCUUCAAUUAAACCCAAGAGAGGCCUCUCCUUCACACCAGGAGGACUGGAGUAGAACGUGGGCUCCAGGUGAAUGGUUUGAUUCACAAGGAAGAAAAAGGAACAGGGAUGGUUUGUGCAUGCCCAAUUUAUCCUUUGAAACUCUCCUAUCAGCCCACCGGCCCAUGGCUAACAGGACCACAGGUGGCCACCUGACACGUGGUGAUCCAGUCAGUUUUUCUUUCCAUGAAGAAUUUAGAAUGGGGAGUUAGAAAGAGAAGGUUCCAGAACUGGUUUACCAGACAUCUGAGUUGGGCUCUAAGCCAGCCAUGCCAUUGUGAAAGGGGGGAUGAAGCGUCCAGACUCGAAUGUCCCUGGAAAAUUGCCCCCAGGCUUGAGGAGGAUGAAGAGGAAGGUGAUCUGGAAAGCCACUGCAAUUGAGAAGAAAUGUGUGCUUCAUCUGGAUAACGAAUGCUGUUAGCCACAGAGCGCGGAAUAAACCUAAGGACUUGGGAG